CCUUUUCAACUGGAGACAUCGACCGGGAUCCUGGAAGGAAUCUGAUAACCAAAAGUUCUAUUCACCUCAACCUAAUCAACCUGAAGAUGACGAGGAUGAAAACCUUUCUGAUGAUCCACUUCCAUUUAAUGAAUAGUUCAAAGUGUUGCAAUGUGUACAAAAUAAGAGGAGUGUCUGUGCCUUUGAAAGGUGAAUGUUUGUAGAAUCUCAAAGUUUAGAACAAAUAUUACCUAUGCAACAAAAAUGACAUCUGCUAAGUAAGCCUACAAAAUACUACUAAACAACACCAAACACAUUUCUUCAUAAUAAAAUGAAAUUUGACUAGAAUUGUAAGUGGUGUUUUGCUUAAUAAAAUCUCAAUGUCAGAAGUUA
rnacentral:lncRNA from 10 species